GUGUCCAUAGCUCAGCUGGAUAGAGCAACAAGUUGCGGUCUUGUAGGUCGGGGGUUCAAAUCCCUCUGGGCAUACCA
rnacentral:tRNA from 1 species